rnacentral:rRNA from 1 species
UCGAACGAGAAAGUGGAGCAAUCCAUGAGUACAGUGGCGUACGGGUGAGUAACACGUGACUAACCUACCCUCGAGUGGGGAAUAACUUCGGGAAACCGAGGCUAAUACCGCAUAAUGUCUACGGACCAAAUGCGUAAGCAGCUUGAGGAGGGGGUCGCGGCUGAUUAGCUUGUUGGCGGGGUAACGGCCCACCAAGGCAAUGAUCAGUAGCCGGCCUGAGAGGGCGCACGGCCACACUGGAACUGAAACACGGUCCAGACUCCUACGGGAGGCAGCAGUGGGGAAUUUUGCGCAACGGGGGAAACCCUGACGCAGCAACGCCGCGUGGAGGAUGAAGCCCCUUGGGGUGUAAACUCCUUUCGAUCGGGACGAUUAUGACGGUACCGGAUGAAGAAGCACCGGCUAACUCUGUGCCAGCAGCCGCGGUAAUACAGAGGGUGCAAGCGUUGUUCGGAAUUAUUGGGCGUAAAGGGUGCGUAGGCGGUGCGGUAAGUCUUCUGUGAAACCUCCGGGCUUAACUCGGAGCCU